rnacentral:rRNA from 1 species
UACGUAGGGGGCAAGCGUUGUCCGGAUUUAUUGGGCGUAAAGCGCUCGCAGGUGGUUCGUUGCGUCGUGCGUGAAAGACUCUGGCUUAACUGGGGAGUGUCGUGCGAUACGGGCGAACUGGAGGUUAGUAGGGGGAUGCGGAAUUCCGGGUGUAGUGGUGGAAUGCGUAGAGAUCCGGAGGAACACCAGUGGCGAAGGCGGCAUUCUGGACUGGUCCUGACACUCAGGAGCGAAAGCGUGGGGAGCGAUCCGG